rnacentral:rRNA from 1 species
AGGGAAUCUUCCACAAUGGACGCAAGUCUGAUGGAGCAACGCCGCGUGAGUGAAGAAGGUCUUCGGAUCGUAAAGCUCUGUUGUUGGUGAAGAAGGAUAGAGGCAGUAACUGGUCUUUAUUUGACGGUAAUCAACCAGAAAGUCACGGCUAACUACGUGCCAGCAGCCGCGGUAAUACGUAGGUGGCAAGCGUUGUCCGGAUUUAUUGGGCGUAAAGCGAGCGCAGGCGGAAUGAUAAGUCUGAUGUGAAAGCCCACGGCUCACCGUGGAACUGCAUCGGAACUGUCAUUCUUGAGUGCAGAAGAGGAGAGUGGAACUCCAUGUGUAGCGGUGGAAUGCGUAGAUAUAUGGAAGAACACCAGUGGCGAAGGCGGCUCUCUGGUCUGCAACUGACGCUGAGGCUCGAAAGCAUGGGUAGCGAACAGGAUUAGAU